rnacentral:rRNA from 1 species
GACGAACGCUGGCGGCGUGCCUAAUACAUGCAAGUCGAACGAGAGCGACCGUUGCUUGCACUGGUCAAUCUAGUGGCGAACGGGUGAGUAACACGUGGGUAACCUGCUCAACAGAGGGGGAUACCAUCCGGAAACGGAUGCUAAAACCGCAUAGGUCUUCGAGCCGCAUGGCUUGAAGAGGAAAAGAGGCGCAAGCUUCUGCUGAUGGAUGUACCCGCGGUGCAUUGGCUAGUUGGUGAGGUAACGGCUCACCAAGGCCGUGAUGCAUAGCCGACCGGAGAGGGUGAUAGGCCACAUGGGGACUUGGACACGGACAUAGCGCCUACGGGAGGCAGCAGUAGGCAAUCUUCCGCAAUGGACGCAAGUCUGACGGAGCAACGCCGCGUGAGUGGAGAAGGUUUUCGGAUCGUAAAACUCUGUUGUUAGAGAAGAACAAGUGCUAGAGUAACUGUUAGCGCCUUGACGGUAUCUAGCCAGAAAGCCACGGCUAACUACGUG